GGCAAGAAGAAUAGUUUCUGCUGUAAAACUUGUUCAACUUCUCCCAAUGUUUCUUUUGGCACAGAGGAGAGUUCUUGCCAUAAACGUUGCUUAGCUUCCCCCCAACGUUUCUGUUGGCCUAGAGAGUUGUUGCUUAACAUCUCGCCCAUUCUGAAGUUUGAGUGAGGUUCCCACCAGUGGUUGAAAUUAUUUUGGUAGAAUUGAGUGCCCACAUAAUCAAAUUCUUGUCUAAACUGCAUUCUGCAAACAUUAGGCACAAAACCCUAGAAAACAUUUAUUAGG
rnacentral:lncRNA from 1 species